UUUAUUUUAUUGACUUUUUGAAUUGUAUAUAAAGAACUUCGAAGUUUAGCAAAACACUUCUUUAUAGUAGUUACAGGAGUUUCAUAGUUUGCGAAACAAAAAUGUCUAAAUUGUUUUUUGCCCUAAUUGUAGCUUUCGCUGGAAUAGCAGCUGCAGCUCCCGCUGAUUCCACUGAAAAUGAUUUAAACGAAUUACGUAAGUAUAAUUUUUGGAGAGCUUUCUUAUUGUAAUUUUAUUGCAUAUUCUUAAUA